UACGUAGGUGGCAAGCGUUGUCCGGAUUUACUGGGCGUAAAGGAUGCGUAGGCGGACAUUUAAGUCAGAUGUGAAAUACCCGAGCUUAACUUGGGUGCUGCAUUUGAAACUGGGUGUCUAGAGUGCAGGAGAGGUAAGUGGAAUUCCUAGUGUAGCGGUGAAAUGCGUAGAGAUUAGGAAGAACACCAGUGGCGAAGGCGACUUACUGGACUGUAACUGACGCUGAGGCAUGAAAGCGUGGGGAGCAGACAGGAUU
rnacentral:rRNA from 1 species